UAAGGGUGAUGACAUUAUAGGUUUAAUCCAU
rnacentral:piRNA from 1 species